rnacentral:rRNA from 1 species
AUUGAACGCUGGCGGCAGGCCUAACACAUGCAAGUCGAGCGGAUGAAGGGAGCUUGCUCCUGGAUUCAGCGGCGGACGGGUGAGUAAUGCCUAGGAAUCUGCCUGGUAGUGGGGGAUAACGUCCGGAAACGGGCGCUAAUACCGCAUACGUCCUGAGGGAGAAAGUGGGGGAUCUUCGGACCUCACGCUAUCAGAUGAGCCUAGGUCGGAUUAGCUAGUUGGUGGGGUAAAGGCCUACCAAGGCGACGAUCCGUAACUGGACUGAGAGGAUGAUCAGUCACACUGGAACUGAGACACGGUCCAGACUCCUACGGGAGGCAGCAGUGGGGAAUAUUGGACAAUGGGCGAAAGCCUGAUCCAGCCAUGCCGCGUGUGUGGAGAAGGUCUUCGGAUUGUAAAGCACUUUAAGUUGGGAGGAAGGGCAGUAAGUUAAUACCUUGCUGUUUUGACGUUACCAACAGAAUAAGCACCGGCUAACUUCGUG